GAGGAGAGAGGGACUUGGCCCUUCUCGCCUGCCUGAGGACACCUGCCCAUCAGCUCCCUGCCCUGGGACUUCUGCUGACCAUGGCAAGCUAUUGGGACACCAGAGAGAGAUGACUGGACCUGAGACACAGAAGCAGAGGCCUGGGACUCCACCAGGCCACCAUCAUGCCUGUGGAAUGCCCACUCAGCUCUGGGCACGAGGGGCCCACAAACCACUGACAAGGAUGCUCUCCUCCUCCAGCCAGGAGUCUCUGGUCUCUUCAGGGGAGAAGCAGGAGAGCAUCUGACUUUUCAGACCCCCUACCUCCAAUGCUGAAGCUGAAACUCCAGUAUUUUGGUCAUCUGAC